rnacentral:rRNA from 1 species
AUUGAACGCUGGCGGCAGGCCUAACACAUGCAAGUCGAGCGGAUGAAGGGAGCUUGCUCCUGGAUUCAGCGGCGGACGGGUGAGUAAUGCCUAGGAAUCUGCCUGGUAGUGGGGGAUAACGUCCGGAAACGGGCGCUAAUACCGCAUACGUCCUGUGGGAGAAAGUGGGGGAUCUUCGGACCUCACGCUAUCAGAUGAGCCUAGGUCGGAUUAGCUAGUUGGUGGGGUAAAGGCCUACCAAGGCGACGAUCCGUAACUGGUCUGAGAGGAUGAUCAGUCACACUGGAACUGAGACACGGUACAGACUCCUACGGGAGGCAGCAGUGGGGAAUAUUGGACGAUGGGCGAAAGCCUGAUCCAGCCAUGCCGCGUGUGUGAAGAAGGUCUUCGGAUUGUAAAGCACUUUAAGUUGGGAGGAAGGGCAGUAAGUUAAUACCUUGCUGUUUUGACGUUACCAACAGAAUAAGCACCGGCUAACUUCGUG